UACAGAGGUCUCAAGCGUUGUUCGGAUUCAUUGGGCGUAAAGAGCGUGUAGGCGGCCUUACAGGUCAGCUGUGAAAACUCGAGGCUCAACCUCGAGACGUCGGUUGAAACCGUAAGGCUAGAGUCCGGAAGAGGAGAGUGGAAUUCCCGGUGUAGCGGUGAAAUGCGCAGAUAUCGGGAAGAACACCCGUGGCGAAGGCGGCUCUCUGGGACGGUACUGACGCUGAGACGCGAAAGCGCGGGGAGCGAACAGG
rnacentral:rRNA from 1 species